UGAACCAGCUGACACACACCCCUGGGUUCUGGAGCUCAGACGCAUUCUGCUGUCGUUUCACAACCUGGUACCAAACUUCCACUUCUCCCAUCAGGCCUCACUGGUUCGGACCAAAGUGCAGACCGAAAAUCAUAGAAAUGAAACUGGUAAAGUAUAGAUACACCUGUGGUUGUAUGGAAAGUGCAUCUGAGGUCAAACAGGUGAAGUGUCUGUGAUGCUCAUGAGGGCAGGAGGAGGGGUGAUGUCUGUAGAUCUGAGGAACAUCACUGACUCGGCCAGAGGUUGAAAGUUGACCUGCAGGAGCAUCAGAGAACCGCCUCCCUUCCUGGAAGCUACUCGGGAUUUCAGUGGUCGGAUUAAAUCAUGUGGAGAGAGCCAGGGCGGCAGGAAGAGCCCGACUGUCCCCAGCAGACACACGAUGAUGAACAUUCACACGAAGAUACGGUCCACGACCAUGGCCACGUACUUCCACUCCUCCUUCACCUGUAGAGACAAAACAGAAUGAGAAGAGGACGAGACUCUAGAUGAAAGUCUCUUAUUAACCAGAAGCAGAGACACUUGCUGAGAAGUCUGCGUCCUCUGCUCUCAGAUGCUCUGCGAUGUAGAUGACCCCCUCCAGGGCUGACACCACAGCAGGAGACAGAGCAGCGCCGGAUGGGCUCUGGAUCAAACCAUGCUCCACAGGGGGGGUGUCCCAGUCCAAACUGAGUGUGGAGCGUCUCUGUGGGAGGAGGGUGUAACCAAGAGAUGGAGGGGAAGGCGGAGAGAGGGAGGAAAUCCUCGGACGACCGCUUCUCCUCACCCCCGACCUCGGCAGGUUUGAGUAACCAUGAAUAUCGCAGACGUGAAUUUCAUCUCCGCUGUCCAAGGAGUCCAGCUGGUGGCUGCAGUGGCAACCAUGGAGAUCGAGGUCCGA